CUCUCCGGUCAUAGAUAAGUUCUUCGCCACUUGGCAUUAGUAAGCUAGCCAGUACAUAACUAUCACUUUGGUUUCUCAUUAAUCUUUUGUGUUAUUUUAGCAUGUCUGACCUACCAGAAGCAAAUGAGAUGUCCAUUCCCAGUACUCCGGCAAGGUCCAUCUCAGAGAGGGAACAAUGCCCGCCUGUCUUCCCUUAGGUCCUGGACAAUUCCCAGGAUCACGGGCGAACAAAGACGCAGGAAUAUCCUCUACCCUGCCGCUGCCAGGAAGGCAGAGUU